rnacentral:rRNA from 1 species
ACGUAGGGCGCGAGCGUUGUCCGGAUUUAUUGGGCGUAAAGAGCUCGUAGGCGGCUUGUCGCGUCGUCCGUGAAAACUUGGGGCUCAACCCCAAGCUUGCGGUCGAUACGGGCAGGCUAGAGUUCGGUAGGGGAGACUGGAAUUCCUGGUGUAGCGGUGAAAUGCGUAGAGAUCCGGAGGAACACCAGAGGCGAAGGCGGCCUACUGGGCCAGUACUGACGCUGAGCCGCGAAAGCCAGGGGAGCGAACGGG